rnacentral:lncRNA from 1 species
CCUAUGUCCAAGAAAAUUAAGGAAUGCAGACACAAGGGUCGGGGUGGAGUCAAAGUUUAAUAAGCAAAAAAGAAAGCUUUCUGCAGCAGAGAGGGGAGUCCAAGUGGAUUGCCGGGUUACAGCUGAAUUUAAAAGCGUUUUAUAAGAAACUGCUCUCUUCCCUGUAACUGUUGGAAUAACUUUUCUUACCAGUAAAGCUGUCUGUGCAAUUCUUCUUCUCUUAUGCAGCUGUGGGUAUGUCUCUAGGCAAGCACAAAGCCCCACUUCUCUUGUUUGUAUAACUGUGGGUUUGUUUUAGGGGUGGGGCCGCUUUAUAGGGUUUGGGAAGAUAAUGGAAAAUUACAGUCAAAGGGGGUUGUUCUCUGGUGGGCAGGGGCGGGGGUCACAAGGUGCUCAGUGGGGGAGCUUCUGAGCCAGGAGAAGGAAAUUCACAGGGUUAAUCACUCAGUUAAGGUGGGGCAGGAACAAAUCACAAUGGUGGAAUAUCAUCAGUUAAGGCGUGGCAGGGCCUUUUCACUUCUUUUGUGAUUCUUCAGUUACUUCAGGCCAUCUGGGCGUAUACAUGCAAGUCACAGGGGAUGCGAUGGCUUGGCUUGGGCUCAGAGACCUGACAUUCCUGCCUUCUGAUAUUAAUAAGAAAAAUAAAACAAAAUAGUGUUGAAGUGUUGGGGUGGCAAAAAUUUUUGGGGGGUGGUAUGGAGAGAGAAUGGGCGAUGUUUCUCAGGGCUGCUUCAAGCGGGAUUAGGGGCAGCGUGGGAACCUAGAGUGGGAGAGAUUAAGCUGAAGGGAGGUCUUGUGGUAAGGGGUGAUAUUGUGGGGAUGUUAGAAGAGACAUUUCUUGUAUAGAAUGAUUGGUGAUGGCCUGGAUACGGUUUUGGAUGAAUUGAGAAACUAAAUGGAAGAUACAAGGUCCGAAUAAAAGAAGGAGAAAAAUGGGUAUUAAAGGACUAAGAAUUGGGAGGCCCUAGGACAUCCAAUUAGAGAGUGCCUAAGGGGUUCAGCAUAAUUACUUGCUUGGUUGGCAAGUUUUUGGGCUCUAUCCUUGAGUUUUUUUAUGUUGUCAUACACCAGGCCAGAUUGAUUUAGGUAAAAACAACACUCUUCAUUUAAGAAUAUGCAGAGUCCUCCUUUUUCAGCAGUGAGUAAGUCAAGGCCUCGGCGGUUUUGGAGGACAACUGCAGCUAAAGAGUCAACUUGGAGUACUGAUAAAGUUUGUGACAUGUCUGUGAUGCUAGCAGAGAAGUCAUUAGAGAGGCUACGGAAGGUCGAGACAGAAGUUGAAAUGCCUGCUAUUCCAGUACUGAGAGCAAUAGUGGAGGCAGAAAGUCCUAAACCGACCAUCAAGGGAAUUAGUGGAAUAACUCUUCUUUGUCAUGUCGGUGUCAUGAGGGGAACAGGGAGCUCUUCGGUCCUAUUUGCAAAUUGAAUUUUGGGGGAAAGGAAGACUAGUGUGCAUGUGCCUGUCCAAUUAGCAGGUAGACACAUGUAGGUAGAGGAACCACAGAGGAAGAAGAGACCUUGUGCAAGGCAAAACUGGAGAUGUAAAGUAAAAAGAUGAGAAGGAGUGCUGAAAGGGGUGUCUUGUACCUAGAGUCCUAGGGAUCCAGCUAGGGCGGCAGCUGUCAGAGGUUGUAAUGGGGACUGAUGGGGUAACUGCGUAGAGGGGGAGGUUCAAUUUUCAUGGUGUAUGAGAAAACAUUGAGUAUCUAUGAGCAACCUUUCACUGUUAUUUUCGGGGCUGGAUAUAAGUAAACAAGAAUAGGGCCUGGGAGGAGAGUCUGAUGAGCAAGGGGAAGGUAGCCAAGGAUGGAGUUCAAUACAGGGUAAGUGUCUUCCUAAGCAAUAAUUACUGCUAACAUUUUUAAGUUUAUCAGUAUUGAUAGAGGGCUUGUCUGUAAUAUGGAGCUGGAAGGCUCCAAUUGUUUCAGUGAUGUGUGUAAUUGGGCUUCGGAGAUGAAGAGUAAAGGAACAUCGAGAGGGUGAAAGAUUACCUAGGGGAAUUCCAGUGGGUCUUUGCUGAGAGAUACAUAAAGGAGCGGCCACAGGAAUAGUAGUUUGUGUUGUGAGAGGUCCGAAUAUGGGGGGAGUAGAGUUAAUAUAAGGAGAAAGGUUUUUUAAAUAAGUGCGAAGGAGGGCGGCAGCUUGCUGAUGUGAAAUGUCUGGGGAAGUCUUGCUGGACCUGUCUAGAGAGUAAAUGAGUUCUUCAGGAGGGUAAAGAUGAGGGCUGCUAAAGGAAGUUCAGAGGUGUAGGGAGACGGGAGAUAUUGCCCAGUCUGUCUGUAAGGCGGGGACAGCUGUGUAGGCACUGGAAGAAAGGGAAAUGCAAAGCCAGCAGUUGUUCACUAAGGAGGGACUAGAAGUGGCUAGGAGAGAAUGGGUAAGGUUGAUAGUGUGGUGGAGAUAGCUGGGGAGAGGUAGAGGGUGGCAUAAGAAUGGGAACGAGAAUAAGAGUGAGUAUAAAAGUAAAGAAUAGAACUUCAUCAGGGUGGAAGUAUUGGAGGGUGCCUUGCCAGCAAAGAUCAUCUACCCACUCUAAGAGGGAGUUAAGAGUGGCAGUUUGGGGUUAGCACCAAGAGAUAUCAGCUGUGAUGGCUUGAAGAAACAGUGUAAACCGGCGGUGUAAAGAAGAGUAGGGCAUUUAUAAGUAGUUGAGAAUGGAGAAUAGGAGUAUGACCAGACAGAAGAUAGUAGGGAUGACUAGUUUUUUUGGGCUCGGCCUAAGUGGUUGGGGUGACUUCGUAAAGCCCUGUUGCAAAAAGUAGGGUAAGGACGAACAGACCUAAUAGAAUGAAGGGAUGUAUUAGGCUCAUAAGGGUUAUUACUGCUCUUCAGAAAUAUGAGUGAGUUUAAGGGAAGUAGGGGAGAGUACUUGCGGCUUCCAGGAGGAAGAGGAGGGAUUAGGCUGGCUGUCCGAUGGACACAGCUUUAUUCUGGAAUGGUGAACCUAGUGGGGAGGAUCCUGCAGGCAGACGGCAGUCGGGGUACUAUAGAAGACGAGGUAGCAUCCGGUCCAUCGAGGUUGUAGAGUUUGAGGGGUCAGAUUCUUAACAAGAACUGAUCAUCCAGCUAGGAUGUCUCCAUAUGGCUGGGGAUCUGGAGUAGGCAAGAGAAGAUUAGCAGCCUGGUGAAUUUCCUGUCUAGCCUGCUGGAGGACUGGAAGAUAGUCACCUAGAGGGCUGGUGUCUGGGAUGAGGUUGGGGCCAAGCAAGAAAGUGUGUCCAUAUAAAAGUUCAAAUGGACCGUACCCUGUAGCAUCUCAAGGACAGGCUCUAAUUCUGAGAAGAGCAAGAGGUAAAAGUACUGUCCAAUCCUUUUUAAGUUGGAGGCUGAGCUUGGUGAGGUUUACCUUUAAAAGACCAUUAGUCCAUUCUACCUUUCCUGAAGAUUGAGGAUGGUAAGGGAUAUGAAGGUUCCACUGAAUACCAAGAGCCUGAGAAACUGCUUGGGUGAUUUGACUAGUAAAGGCUGGUCUGUCAUCAGACUGUAUAGAGGUGGGAAGCCUAAACUGAGGAAUUAUGUCUGACAGAGGGGAAGAAAUGACUGUGGUGGCCUUCUCAGACCCUGUAGGAAAGGCCUCUACUUAUCUAGUGAAAGUGUCUACUUAGACUAAGAGGUAUUUUAGUUAUCUGACUUGGGGCAUGUUGAGUGAAGCUAAUUUGCCAGUCCUGGGUGGGGGCAAAACCUUGAGCUUGAUGUGUAGGGAAGGGAGGGGGCCUGAAUAAUCCUUGAGGAGUAGUAGAAUAGCAGAUAGAAUAGCAGAUGGAACACUUGAGAAGUUAUUUCCUUGAGGAUAGAUUUCUACAAUGGAAAGGAAAUGAAAGGUUCAAAGAGGCGGGCUAGUGGCUUGUACUAUAGCAUAGCCUGCCUUUGCUGAUGUGUGGUGAUUAGGCCUGGUGGAACUGCCAUCAAUAAAUCAAGCGUGAUCAGGGUGAGAAACAGGGAAGAAGGAAAUGUGGGGAAAUAGGAUGAACAUCAGGUGGAUCAGAGAGAUGCAAUCAUGAGGGUCAGGUGUGGUAUCAGGAAUACUGUGGGAGGCUGGAUUGAAGUCCAGGCCAGGAACAAUGGUAAUUGUGGGACUUAACAAAGAGUGAGUACAGCUGAAGGAGCUGGGGAACAGAAAGUAUAUGCGUCAGGUAUGAGGAAGAAAAUAGAUUUUGGAAGUUAUGAGAAAUGUAGAGAGUGAGUUGAGCAUUGUUUGUGAUUUUUAGGGCCUCUAAAAUUAUUAAAGCAGCAGCAGCUGCUGCACACAGACAUGAGGGCUAGGCUAAAACAGUAAGGUCAAGUUGUUUCGACAGAAAGGCUACAGGGUGCGGUCCUGGCUCUUGUGUAAGAAUUCUGACGGCACUAACCAUGCCUAGGAAGGAAAGGAGUUGUUGUUUUGUAAGGGAUUGAGGUUUGGGAGAUUAAUUGGACAUGAUCAGCAGGGAGAGCAUGUGUGUUUUUAUGAGAAUUAUGCAGAGAUAGGUAACAGAUGGAGAAGAAAUUUGAGCUUUGGAGGGGGAUACCUGAUAUCCUUUGGAGAAUAAAUGCUGAAGAAGCAGAAGUGUGUCUUGUUGAGAAGAUUCAAAGGAGGGGCUACAAAGAAGAAGGUCAUCAAUAUAUUGAAUAAGGUGAGAAGCAGAGGGGUGGAAAGAAAGUAGAUCAUGAGAAAGAGCUUGGCUGAAGUAAAUGAGGGCUGUCCCUGAAACCUUGCGGCAGCACAGCCCAGGUAAGCUGCUGGGACUGUUGGGUGUCAGGGUCAGUCCAGGUGACAGCAAAGAGAGGCUGGGAUGAGGGGUGCAGGGGAAUAGUGAAAAAAGCAUCUUUAAGAUGAAGCACAGAAUAGUGAGUUGUGGAGGAAGGUAUUGAGGACAAAAGAGUGUACAGGUUGGGCACCACAGGGUGGAUAGGCAAAACAAUUUGGUUGGUAAGGCGCAGAUCCUGAACUAAUCUGUAAGACUUGUCGGGUUUUUGGACAGGUAAAAUGGGGGAAUUGUAAGGAGAGUUUAUAGGUUUUAGAAGCCUAUGCUGUAGCAGGUCAGUGAUAACAGGCUUUAAUCCUUUUAAAGCGUGCGGUGGGAUGGGAUAUUGGCGUUGAGUGGGGUAAGGGUGAUUAGGUUUAGUGGGAUGGUAAUGGGCAUGUGAUCGGUUGCCAGGGAAGGAGUAGAGAUGUCCUAUACUUGUGGUUAAGGUGGGGGGAUAUGAGAGGAAGACGCAAAGGAGGCUUUGGGUUGGGGAGAAGGGUGGCAAUGAGAUGCAGCUGUAGUCCAGGAAUAGUCAGGGAAGCAGAUAAUUUAGUAAGUGUCUCGGCCUAAUAAGGGAACUGGGCAGGUGGGGAUAACUAAAAAGGAGUGCUUAAAAGAGCAUUGUCUAAGUUGGCACCAGAGUUGGGGAGUUUUCAGAGGUUUAGAAGCCUGGCUGUCAAUACCCACAACAGUUAUGGAGGCAAGGGAAACAGGCCCUUGAAAAGAAGGCAACGUGGAGUGGGUAGUCCCCGUUUCGAUUAAACAGGGGAUGGAUUUACCCUCCACUGUGAGAGUUACCCAAAGCUUGGCGUCCGUGAUGGUCCAGGGGGUUUCCAAGGCGAUGAGGCAGCGUCACUCUUCAGUCGCUAAGCCGAGAAGGAGUCAGUCAGAGAGCCUUGGGCCAGAGUUCUCAGGGCUCUGGGAGUGGCUGCCAGGUUUUGACAUAAUUUGGUGUCAGAAGUAGAAUUGAAGCUGGUUAGUUGGACAGAUGGACAACCCCUGAAAUUGAGUGAAUUGCCUGUGCUGAGCCCUUUUGAGCUCUCCACCUCCGUGGCUGACCUUUUCUACCCUGCUGAAUCUCCUCUCAGAUUCCUGGACUCCUUUUUGGGCUAAGGAAUUGGGUUACUUUGUGCCCCGCCUCUGCCCGCAGGGAAGACCAUUCCUGGAUUUACCCUUCGAGGGAGCAGUAGAAGCGGAUCUGGCAUGAAGUGGGGGACACAACUCCCCUUAUGCUCCCAGCACAUCUCCUGGGCUGAGGCCAUCUCAGAUUGGAAGACCAGCUUUCCAAAGCAAGUCUCCUCCACAUCAUGAAGGAGAAAAAGGAUCCUAUCACCCCUAUUGCAAUCAUCAUCCCUGGCUGACAGAGGACAUCCUCAACUGAGCUUCUCGGCAAGGCUGGGAUCUUCACCAGCACGUUCCUUAUGACUUUGGUAAACAAACAUCCUCUGGGCCCUCUCACAGAGUCAGCUAGUGAAUUUCUCGCCUCGCAUUCUUGGCCUUGAUCCAUUUUAGGAGGCCCACUUCUCUGAGGCUUUGAGGCUUUUCUCUUCCAUCUGCCAAGGAAGUUAUGAUAUUUCUAUUUCACUUAAUGUGAGCCAUCACUAUUUCCAAGGUCUUGAAAGCCUAAGAUCUUAUUAGCUCUGUUUUCCAGGAUGCUAUUAACCCUGUUUCGCAGCAUAUUAGCCCUUGCCAGGAUGCUAAAUCCUUUAUCAUGGAAGAAGCUCCUAUAAUAAUAAACCAUCUUUAAUCCAACUUUAUCUCCCAUUUCCCCUCAGUUUAGCACCUUCAAGAUUCCAUUCCAUGCGUGCUCUCCUAGCUCCUGCAGGUAUAUGUUAGCCAGAUUCUGCAGCAACUUGGUCCCUCUAAUUCCUUAGUAAGCCCAAUACCCCAUCAAUAGACCUCCACAGAGAUUUGACUUUUAUAAUUCGCCAGGAUGGGAGGUGGGGUAGACCACGAGGGAAGCAAACUGUGUCUCACAAAAUGCCAGCCUUACUUGAGGCUCCUGCACCAUCUUUGAGCAAAGGGAAGAGCCAUCUUCUAACGAGGGGAAAUGGACCAAUUCUAAAGGAGCAGCUGGUUCAGGGGAAUCUGGGGAUUCAAUAUUCUCAAAUACCUAUAUCCAGACACUGCUGUCCCAAAUUGCAGGGUUCUAUUCCUUCCUCAUGAAAGACUUGACCAUGGCAUAGGAGACCUAGUGGGGUGGGGAAUUCAACCAUUCCAGAAACUCCUCUACUCUUAGAAUUAAGUCCUGAGCCUGGUCUUCUCUCUGCCCUCCAGUUGUAAGAGAUCAAGUUUUCCUUAAAAGCUGCAGAGAAACCUUUGACUUUCAGUAUUGCCUUGAAUUGGUGGUUAAUUGCUCUGACUGUCCUUAUCUCUCAUCAAUAAAUCAAGAGCACUCAGCAUCAACCACCCACUUCCAUAGUCCUCGUUGCUAUGAUUGUCUUCAUUCUCUCAAGCCUCAGAGAUAUUGCAUCAGUCCAUGCUAUCCUUUCUACUGGAAAGCCAACCCAGUUCAUCACUGGUGGAACGUUAUGGCAUCUGCACCCCUACAGCAUCACCUCCUACCACUGGUGAUGGGAUCCUUACACCAACUGGCCAGCAAGUGAUCCUGCUCCAACAUCCCCUUCAAAUGACUCUAAAUUAGAGGCUACUGCCUAGGGCCACUUCUGGUACUAGUAAAUGGCCCUAGAUUGGGUUCUCUGGAAAAAGACUCAGAGCCAGACUUUAUGCUGAAGACUUUCUGCAGGUACGCUCAGGAGAUAUACCUAGGGGAGUGAAGACGGCAGGACUGGGCAGAGGGAGAAGCCACCCUUCCCUGCAGUUGCAACUAAGGCCUCAGGUGAUCCUUUAUGGAGUUCUGCAUCAGCUGAUUGUUGGCCACAGAAUACCCCAGGAGGGGAUGUAACCCUGGGUGAAGCUGUUUCCUGUGGCUGGGAGGGAUGCAACUGUGAGCUGUCACCCACUGACAUUCUUGGCCUCUGGGGAAUAGACAGUUACAUAGGCCUUGAAGUUGGGAUCCGGAAUGAAAACCAGUAUCCCACAUACAGCUCUACUAUGAAAGGGUGCUUGGCAGACAAAACAAAUAGAUGUCCACUCUAACCUUAAAGAAUGGAUAGCCCAGCAUCUUGGGAGGCCGAGGCAGGAGAAUUGCUUGAGCCCAGGAGUUCAAGACCAGCCUGGGCAACAUAGUGAGACCCUGUCUCUACAAAAAAAAAAUUAAAAAAAUAGCCAGGCAUGGUGGCUCAUGCCCUGUAGCCCCAGCUACUUGGGAGGUGGAGGGAUCACUUGAACCCAGGAGGUUGAGGCUGCAAAUGAGCUAUGCUCAUGCAGCUACACUCCAGCCUGGGCAACAGAGUGAGAUCCUGUCUCAAAAAAGAAAAAAAAAAGAAUAGGAAAGAUCUGGAUAGGUGUAGUGGGUGGUGAGGUUGUUUCAAAUGAGGGAGAGAGCAGGGGUGAAGGCUUCAACAUGGGAGUGAACAGGGACUAUUCUAACGUGCAGGUCACCCACUGGGCAAAAGGGAGGUGGGUGAAAAGUCUGUUUUGGGUAUUUGUAAUAACAGAAAAGGUCUUAACUUGUCCAUGCCUAGUUGGGAAAAAAAUUUUUUUAUAUCUGGAUUGUUCUGGAAAUCCCGUGAAAUUAUAGCUUAUGAAACCGUAGUGCUAUAGAUUAAAUGUUUAGGUCUCCCCAAAUCCAUAUGUUAAAAUUUUAAUCCCUAAUGUGAUGGUAUUUGAAGAUGUGGCCUUUGAGAAGUGAUUAGGUCAGGCAGGUGGAGCCCUUAUGAAUGAGUCCCUUAGGAAAAAGACCCCAGAGAACUCACUCACCCCUUCUACCAUGUGAGAACACAGCCAGAAGGCAUGUCCAUAAACCAUGAAAUGGGCCCUCAUCAGACACCAGCUCUGCCAGUGCCUUGAUCUUGGACUUGCCAGCCUCCAGAAUUGUGAGAAGAAAAUUUUUUUUUCUUAUAAGCUAUUUGGUCUAUGGUAUUUUUGUUAGAGCAGCCUGUUAUAUUUUUUCCUAAUUUGGUCUUAAGGUUCUCUCCUGAGGGAGGCUGUAAACUCUAGGCCUGCCCUGAUGGGGCUGUAGGGGAAGUGGUCAUGAACGUUUACUCUGUGUCUUUCACAGGAUACUUCUUUAUCCUAAUAAAGGAUGCCUAACUGUCUGGCCUGUGACCCGGGGUCCCUAUCACAGGAAAUGUGUUUCCCUUGGUAAAUGCCUUUGUGGCUCUUGUUUGACCUAUGUCCAGUUUUUUCCAAGUGAGAUAGCCACUGUCUCGGGGAACGCUGACCUGGAGAGAAGUUAGCUUCAGGUGUGUCGGUCAGGUGAGACACAGAGGAGACGAUGCAACAAAACACAGGAAAUAUCAGAAGCAGUGGAUUACUUACCGAUCCACAAGAGAAGGGGAGUACCAAUAAGGUCAACAGGAAGACUGCAGGGGCAGGGCACUUAACCAGCAGGGGGAGUACCAGAGAGGGAAGGACCUAGGGGCUGGGGCCUUCACUGGGGUCCCGGGUGUUACCCAGGCAGGUUUCCUGCUGGGAGUUCUAACUGAUGGUUAUAGAGCAAGCAGGCAUGAGUUCCAUGGAGUCACGCUUACUUUAAGAUGGUCAUUGCAGCAUAUCUGUGCAGCCCUCGUCGAGUGUGGGGGUCAGUGGGGUGAGAUGCAAAGCAGGCUGCAUCUAGCUGUCCCAUAGCAAAGCAUUCAUCAGGAGGCAGUUUUUUAAGGCAGAUAUCUGGGUCAACCACCUUGAGAAAUUGGGAAUAGGUGGGUAACUGGAAACUGUGUCAAUGGUGACUAUUCUUUGCUUCGGGUAUAAGAAGGUCCAAAUUGUAUUCAAAAUAGAUGCUGAAGCAACAUAAAAUUAUAGGAAUUCACUACAUAGCUUGAGUGGAUUAAGACAAGUAGGAAUAUACCAAAGAUUGCAAAUUCAGACGUGUACACUGCUGACCAGGCAACAUAAAUAAGUAAAGCAGGCUGAAUUUUACUCUUUUAACACAAACACACAUCACAUAUAAAAUAUGCCCAGCCCCUGCUAGUCUAUAUGAAGGCUUUGAGCAAAUUAGAAAAUGAUGUCCCCUCUGGGCUCAUGCUGCCCCAAGCCAGGGGUAAGUGUGCACUGUAUACCAGCCCUGACUUGUGCUGUUUGUGCAGGACACAAAUUACACAACCAUUAGGCAAUCUUGCAAAUAUGUUCUGUUCCAUUUUUCUUCAAACAGAUGGCCUUUUCUACCUUUCAUUCACAG